ACCUGGUUAGCUCAGUUGGUAGAGAGCGCUCAAGUGGAAAUGGAGAGGUCCUUGGUUCGAUACAAGGACCAGGCG
rnacentral:tRNA from 1 species